UACAGAGGGGGCAAGCGUUGUUCGGAAUUACUGGGCGUAAAGGGCGCGUAGGCGGAUAGUUUAGUCAGAGGUAAAAGCCCAGGGCUCAACCUUGGAACUGCCUUUGAUACUGGCUAUCUUGAGUUCGGGAGAGGUGAGUGGAAUGCCGAGUGUAGAGGUGAAAUUCGUAGAUAUUCGGCGGAACACCAGUGGCGAAGGCGACUCACUGGCCCGAUACUGACGCUGAGGCGCGAAAGCGUGGGGAGCAAACAGG
rnacentral:rRNA from 1 species